rnacentral:tRNA from 1 species
GCCAGAGUGGUUUAGUGGUUUGAGUGUUGGAUUAGGAAUCUGGAGACCAGGGUUCCAAUCCCCACUGAGCCA